rnacentral:rRNA from 1 species
AGUGAACGCUGGCGGUAGGCCUAACACAUGCAAGUCGAACGGCAGCACAGUAAGAGCUUGCUCUUACGGGUGGCGAGUGGCGGACGGGUGAGGAAUACAUCGGAAUCUACUUUUUCGUGGGGGAUAACGUAGUGAAACUUACGCUAAUACCGCAUACGACCUACGGGUGAAAGCAUGGGAUCUUCGGACCUUGCGCGAUUGAAUGAGCCGAUGUCGGAUUAUCUAGCUGGCGGGGUAAAGGCCCACCAAGGCGACGAUCCGUAGCUGGUCUGAGAGGAUGAUCAGCCACACUGGAACUGAGACACGGUCCAGACUCCUACGGGAGGCAGCAGUGGGGAAUAUUGGACAAUGGGCGCAAGCCUGAUACAGCCAUACCGCGUGGGUGAAGAAGGCCUUCGGGUUGUAAAGACCUUUUGUGGGGAAAGAAAAGCAGCAGGUUAAUACCCCGCUGUUCUGACGGUACCCAAAGAAUAAGCACCGGCUAACUUCGU